AAAAGAUAUACUUUUUUCUAUCAAUUAAUUUUCAAGAGUUUUGGUUAAUGUUUAAUUAUAUUUGCAGUCAAUCGGUUUGCAGUUUUACUUUCGCCCGUUAAAUAAUUUUCUAUUUCAAGAUAUUGGAUAUAAAUAUGCGUCUUUUUGGGAAAGUAACGCAUUUUCUACACAUCUCCCGGUGUCUGAGCUAUCACGCGCCAAUCUGUAGACCCCAUCGCCUGCUCCAUGGCAGCUGCAAGCAAUGGAAGAAAAUCUGCUCGAACUGCGUCUGUUGGCAACCGCCGCAGUUGGUGGAAUUCCUGCCAUCUGUGCCAACAAUGAUACACGUCCAGUUAUAUUCCCAACGUUCGCCGGGCGUCUUCAGUCCGAACACCAAUGUUGAUAUGCUGCGCAAAAGGAUCAGCUUUAGCGGAACGCCAAACGAGGCCUCCGACGGGGCACCAAAUGUUGUGCCCGUUGGCAUUAUCAUACCCGAGGCCAAAGAUGGCAAGCAACUGAAGAUUGUGAUUGUGCCAUUGGACUUGGCCAAUCAGGAUAUCGAGAGCUUGAGGAACACGCUGGAGGCGCUUAAUCAGCUGCGCAUGCACGCCAAUGAGAUCGACGCCUUCACCAACAGCAUGAUCGAAGACUUUAACCAGGAAAGCAAAGGAGAGACUCCUGCAAUCGAAGAGCAGCCAGUCAGCAAGGAGAAAUUGAACUUCUUCGAGGGGUAUGUGAAGGGCAUCGAUGCUGUAGGCACUUCGACCGCCAGUAAAAAUGCGACGGAGCAGCAAGACUUGCAAGCGGCUACUGCGGCUCUGGGCAACGCGGCUACCGAUGUGGAGGUAACGCCAAUAGCACCUAGCGUGCCAUUCACUCCGAGCACACCGAAUGCACCAAGCACAACGCCCAGCACCUCGCCCGGCACAAUGCCACAACCGAUGCCAAAUGUUAUACCCUUGGGUGAUCCAAAAGAAACGCAGAUCUGCGCCAGCGCACAGCCCGAGGUGGAUGAAACGCUCGCCAGCAGCGAACCCCAUGUGGAUCAAAUCAGCAUUGAGGUGCCAGACAGCCUGGGCCAGCGUCUCAACGAUAUGGCCAUUGCAUCCAUGCAUUUGUCCUUUGAAAUGGACAUGUCCAACGUGCGGGAUGCCAUAAUGAAUGGCGACGCGCCCGAGAAAGCCGAACCCACAUUGGGCAACGAUGCGAUGGUCUUCCUAGAAACCAAAGUGGAAGCAGAUCCCGAAAACGCGCCACUGAAUACGGUGCCACUGCGCUUCAAUGCCCUGAUCAAGGGCACAGUUCAAAUCGAUGCCGACAAGCUUAAUCCAGAUCAACUGACCGAAGCAAUGUUGCCAGAAUACAAUGAUGCAGUCACCUCCAUUGCCGCCAGCGUAUGCAGCACGGCGCUACAGAGUGGAUUUUCAUCCGACAACGCUGCCGAACAGCAGGCAUCGACUGCAGAGUCGAUGCCGAUUCUCAAGGCAAAGUCUGCGGCAAAUGCUCGCAUGGCAAUGAAACGCAAUCAGGCGAUGAAGCGCAUGAAGCAGCAGCAUAGCCGUCCCAGAAUGAGUACAAUGCCUGUGCCGGAAAUUCAGAGCCCAUACUUAAAGGAUGGAUGCAAAUAUCCCGUCAUUAAGCCAAAAAAGAAGUGCCCCAAGAAGUGCCCGCUACUCGAUGAUCCCUGCAAGGAAGAUCCAUGCAAGCGUCCACAGGAACCGAAAAAGAAGACGCAAAAGAAGAAAGCGCUUCGGACCGUCGAAAUAACGGCCAAAAGUUCCGGUGACAAAAAAGGUAACGGUGCCAAUAAAUGUGCUAGUGACAAGAAAGAUCCCUGUGCUAAGAACGGUGCCGGCGGCAAAGGUGAAAAGGGUGGUGACAAAAAGGACCCUUGCUCAAAAUUCAAGAAGGGAGGUGACAAAAAGGAUCAAUGCGCCAAAAAGGACGAUAAAAAGGAUAAAUGUGCUCAGAAAGAAGACCCGUGCAAAAAGAAGGAUCCAUGCGCUAAAAAAGACGAUCAAAAGGAUAAAUGUGCUAAGGACGAUAAAAAGGAUAAAUGUGCUCAGAAAGAGGACCCAUGCAAAAAGAAGGAUCCAUGCGCUAAGAAAGACGACAAAAAGGAUAAAUGUGCUAAAAAAGAGGACCCAUGCAAAAAGAAGGAUCCAUGCGCUAAGAAAGACGACAAAAAGGAUAAGUGCGCCAAAAAAGACGAUAAAAAGGAUAAGUGCGCCAAAAAAGACGAUAAAAAGGAUAAGUGUGCCAAAAAAGACGAUAAAAAGGAUAAGUGCGCUAAAAAAGACGAUAAAAAGGAUGAUCCAUGCAAAAAGAAGGAUCCUUGUGAUAAAAAGGGAGGCAAAGGCGACAAGAAGAAAGACCCUUGCGCCAAGUUCAAGAAGGGCGAUAAAAAGAAAGUCUCUUGCGCAAGCAAAGACAAAAAGGAUAAAUGUCCUAAAGAGGAUCCUUGCAAAAAGAAAUAUUCCACAUUUAGUAGCCCCGUCUCAAAAUUUUAUCAUUCCAACAGCUCACACAUGCCCUUCAUCCGUAACCACAACCGUUUCAUGUCAACAGCCAUAUUUAACCAUAGUCCCCAAGUGUUCUCAGAGAAAAGUAGUUCAAAUUUAAUGCAUAAUCUGAGGGCCUUUACCACGGUGUGUCACUACAGUGCUCGAUCAGCUGAGCAAAAAAGCUCGCCCGCGAAAUUCUUGGUUUACUCAACUCUUGUGCGCCGGCAUUACGGCGGCAUGCCCACCGUCACACAGAUGGGCGCCUGGGGCAUCAAAUCGCAGAAUGUGCGUCAACUAAUCCAGCGUGGCUAUAGUAAGAAGUCCAAGAAGAGUAAGGAGUUAAAGGCUGGCGAUGCCAAAUGUGCAGCUCUGGCCGACAAACCCAGCAUAAAGAAACGCAAGCACGUUAAGGCGCGUACGGGUCUGCGUACAGAUUGCUAUGACAAGUAUGAUAAUGAAUGUCCAAAGGUAUUCUGUACUGGCAAAUGUGAUGAAGUUAAGUUUCCACGCAAGAAAUGCGACAAAUCGGAAAAGAAGCCAAGAACCGUGGUGCCCAAGAAACCAAAGAAGCAGCUGCCCCCCAUAUGCAUGGUAAAUAAAGAGAAGGACAAAAAGGAUAAAGAUAGAAAGAAAUAAGCUCCUUUCCACGGGCUCAUUCACUCUUAACCAAAUGCGCAUGCACAGCGAUUCAGCGCACAGCAAAAGGGGCUACAACUCGCAGAUCAAUAAGGCAGCAUUGAAAGAGUGUCCCGAUGAGGAAUUGCCAGACUCUGUGAUUGAGGUCAUACGCAUACCCGCUUCGUAUCAAAUAUGUAAAGAGCACCUGCCGCGACCAGAGCUAAAACCAUUCGAUGUCCUUAUUAGCACUGGCUCAAUAGCACUCACUGGAUCGGAUAUACAUGUAUAUGAGAAUGCAAAUCGGGAUCUGGAGGGCAUGACCUUGGGUCACGAUGCCACCGGCUUUGUGGAGCAGGUUGGUAGCUGUGUUCAACAUUUACAUGUGGGUGAUCGUGUCGUCAUGGAAUCGGCGCUGUCCUGUGGCGUUUGUGAUUAUUGCAAACGGGGCUUGUAUAACAUCUGCGCCGAUCUGGUAUACAACGGUUUCUUGGCUACCCAUCAGUCGCAUCC
rnacentral:misc_RNA from 1 species